ACCACCAAUAAGCCUUUUUACAUACGGUCACUAAGGGGCCUUAGGCUGAGCCGCCACUUUUUUACGGUGGCCCAGUCUAAGGGCUGCACGGGUCCCCCAUGCAGCGGGGACCCAGCUCUCACAUGAGAACCACGGCCCUGCUCUAACAGCCCAGAC